UAGAUAUAGGGGCGGCUUCGCUGGCUUGGAUUGGAAGGAAGGGCUUCGCUUUCCGAUCGCUUUUUGAGGCCGGUUUGGGUGCGCGUGGGCAAGUUCGGGAUUCGCUAUCGCUUUCGACUUGGAGCGGCUCACCCCCCUUGUCACAACAAGGGCGAAGUCGCUGAAGCGAGUCUAAAGGCCAAAGAGUGAUCUUUGAACGCUACUACGCAUCCUUACUAAUAGUAUAGUGUAAGGUAGGUUUGGGUAUA
rnacentral:misc_RNA from 1 species